rnacentral:rRNA from 1 species
AUUGAACGCUGGCGGCAGGCCUAACACAUGCAAGUCGAACGGUAAGAGGAAGAAGCUUGCUUCUUUGCUGACGAGUGGCGGACGGGUGAGUAAUGUCUGGGAAACUGCCUGAUGGAGGGGGAUAACUACUGGAAACGGUAGCUAAUACCGCAUAACGUCGCAAGACCAAAGAGGGGGACCUUCGGGCCUCUUGCCAUCGGAUGUGCCCAGAUGGGAUUAGCUAGUAGGUGGGGUAACGGCUCACCUAGGCGACGAUCCCUAGCUGGUCUGAGAGGAUGACCAGCCACACUGGAACUGAGACACGGUCCAGACUCCUACGGGAGGCAGCAGUGGGGAAUAUUGCACAAAGGGCGCAAGCCUGAUGCAGCCAUGCCGCGUGUAUGAAGAAGGCCUUCGGGUUGUAAAGUACUUUCAGCGGGGAGGAAGGGAGUAAAGUUAAUACCUUUGCUCAUUGACGUUACCCGCAGAAGAAGCACCGGCUAACUCCGUG